GACGAACGCUGGCGGCGUGCCUAAUACAUGCAAGUAGAACGCUGAAGAGAGGAGCUUGCUCUUCUUUGAUGAGUUGCGAACGGGUGAGUAACGCGUAGGUAACCUGCCUUGUAGCGGGGGAUAAUUAUUGGAAACGAUAGCUAAUACCGCAUAACAAUGGUUGACACAUGUCAUUUAUUUGAAAGGGGCAAUUGCUUCACUACAAGAUGGACCCGCGUUGUAUUAGCUAGUUGGUGAGGUAAUGGCUCACCUAGGCGACGAUACAUAGCCGACCUGAGAGGGUGAUCGGCCACAUUGGGACUGAGACACGGCCCAGACUCCUACGGGAGGCAGCAGUAGGGAAUCUUCGGCAAUGGGGGCAAGCCUGACCGAGCAACGCCGCGUGAGUGAAGAAGGGUUUCGGAUCGUAAAGCUCUGUUGUAAGUGAAGAACGGGUGUGAGAGUGGAAAGUUCACACUGUGACGGUAGCUUACCAGAAAGGGACGGCUAACUACGUG
rnacentral:rRNA from 1 species